UACUUGUAUAAAAAUCGUGUUUAUGAAAGGUACUAUGCACUCACUUGAAAAGACGAUUAUCGGACAAUACUUCGGCUCUUCAAGUAGUAUUCCUUUGGUGAAACCGGGAUCUCUUCACACACCGGGCUUCUUGCAGGUAGAGCUUUAGAUUGGAAACUCUUUUCUAAUGGGUUUUUGGCUAUAAGAACAUCCUAUGUGCUCAUACAAACCCUAAUGCUUGGAUCUAGGUUUCUCUAUUGUACUUGCAAAUUAUCCAAGACUAUAAACCCUAAUUCUAGCAUUCAAGUAAUCAUAUUAACAUGAGAAUAGGUUUAAGAUAUUACCUUGAUUGUUAUGUAGCAAUAACAAUCCCAAUUCCUCCUUAUAUUGACUUUAGAAAGCUUAGAGUCACAGAUGUCACUCCUCUAAUGGUUCAUGAACACCAAGAGCAAGAGGAUGAAGAGGAGAGAGGAUGGAGGCUGCCCAAAACGUGUACUAACCCUAGAAGAGAAGUUUACCACGUUUUUGAGCCUUAAGGGUUCUAUAUAUAGUGAGGCUAUUAGGGUUAUCUAACAAGGAAACCCUAAUUUGGAUGCUUAAGCCCUAAGCAACCCAUGGAUCCCUUUCCUUAAGGCCUUGGACGAUUUCUUAUGGGUUUCCCCAUAGAAUUCGUCCACUCCUUAAUAUAAGGCAAUCCAUGGCCCAAAUUGCAAUUAUCUUAUAAUUACAAUUCCAGUCCCUUAAGUUUAAUUAAUCUCUUUUAGUCACAAAACUAAUUACCAAUUAAUUAUUGACUAAUAUUAAUUAAACAAUAUGAUUUCUCCUUUAAUAUAUUAUUCUCAUAAUAUAUUAAUAAAUCAUAUUUAAUCCUUUCUCUCCAUAAUUCAUCCUAUCAAGUUGCUUUGGUGAAGGCAACCCAAAAGGACCAUGCACCAUCGGGUCAAGUACAUACCAAAAUAGUUAUGGACUUAGACACUAAUCCAACAGUCUCCCACUUGGAUAAGUCUAAUAACUAUUAUGCGUAUGACUUCAGAUCCUGAUCUGCAAUCGUAGCUUUCCAAAGCCGCUGUCAACUCUGAUCCUAUCAGAUACGCGUGUCCUUAAGUAAGGGAUCAUAUAUUCCUCCAUUCUAGAUAUCAUAUGAGAUAUGAUUUCAAAUCAUUCUCUUUGUACUAUAUCUCGAUUCCCGAUUUAUGACGACUGACUAAUUGAACAAAUCAAAUUAGCCCUAGCCCGGCCGAGCAUUUACGUUUGUCAUCACUAAAUCAUCGAGGGGCCCAAAGAUAUCGCUUUUAUCCUACUUUGGAUAAAAGGAACGGAUAAACUUUGAUACAAUGCUUGCUUGCACUCACUCACCGAAUCACACACAACAAUAUGUUUUAUAACACCAAGUUACUAGUGCGUUUACAUAUUAUCAAUGUGCAACCGAUUUGCAAGAUACAACUCACACAUCUCGGUUUCAAGAAUAUAAGAUGUUAUCGUCUCACCAAUCACUCGUGAUACAAUUCAUGGAGUGAUCCAAGUGAGCGUGGGUUUAAUCCAAUGCUCAAAUCAUAUUCAUAAGCACUCAUGAACGUUGCAGCAAACAUUUGCUUAUGUCUAAUACUCUUUAGACAAUCCACACACCAAUUCACGACAGUCUUCAUUCAUAUCUACUUCCAACAUAUGAACGACUGUGGCCCGUUCGAAUAAUUCGAUUAUUCUUAAUAAACUCAAUUAUUCUGGAAGUCAAAACAUGCAAAUGUGAAACACAAGAAUAAUACUAAUCCCAUAUGGCCUCAAACCUUUGAGUAUAAAUAAAACACCUUUUAUUUAUCACCAUAUCGAUUACUCAUUAUUUGUCGUUUCGGGUAAUCAACUUCUUACUUGAAUUAUUACACUUGUCCCAUGCUCCUAGCAUGCACACAAUGUUUACCUAUGGUUCUUACUUUGUGAAAUAGAUCAAAUUGAACACAUUUCCAAUCAUUCUCAUUUCACAACUCCAAAUCCUUUUUCAUAAGUGAAAGAAUAUCAAAUUCUUGCUACUUAUAGAAUAUGCUAGAUUCUAACAUUCUAUGCAACUAUCCUUUCGUAAUGUCACUGCACCAAAGUCACAAAGACUAUUGCCAAUGAUAUUACAAAGUCCUCUAUCGGAGAUUGUUACAAGACAAUUCCAUAGAUGUGAUGUCUCUCACUCAAAGUACAUUCUUUGAACAUCCUUUUGCAUAGAAGUUUCUAAUCUAGUCAUAGAUUUCUCAAUAUUCAAUUCCCAAUAUGGACACACUUCCAUAUGUUCCAUAUGACAACUCAUUCUUAAUAGAAUCUUAUCUAUUCGUAAUGAUGUCGAUAUGGUCCAUCCAAUAUGGAAACAUUUCCAUAUUUUCCAAUACUAUACUUCCAACUACUCACAAGCGACCAAUCCUCGUCGAACUUGGGUUGUCCUUUGAUAGUUGUUUAAUUAUUUUAGUCAAAACCAAUUCUAGUCCCUUUUCCCUCUAAAUGCGCUCGACAUUUGGAAAAUUUUAGAAUGGUCAAACAUUAAAGCAUUUGCAAUCGAUCCUAUACCCGAAGCGUAUGGGACACGACGCAUAAUGUUUUAUUUGCUAUGUUCUCAAAAUUCGAAUUGUGAAGAGGGAUGCCGUAAUCAUAAUCGAAAUUUUAAGAACACACUAUGUACCUUUGACUAAAUUUUUUAACAUUUCUCAACCUAAUCCUUUAGAUUUGAAAUGAAGCAUAAUAUUCUCUCCCUUAAUUAUAGCAAAACAACUUUUCAACUCUUACAACUUUGCAAAGUAUGACUCUUGUUUUCUAUAAUUAAUAUUGCUAACUUGCAAUACUUGCCUUAAUAAUCAUGCAAUCAUAACAUUUAUGCUCCCACUAUCAUGAUGAUUAUUAUGAACAUGUCACACCCCAAAACCGGAACGGCGGAAACGUAUUCAUAAACAUCUUAACUUUCAGAAAACAAUACUUAUUGAAUUUCUUAAGUUCAUGUUUCUAAUACUUAGUGCUUUGAUAAUCCNACAUGGUUACAUUACAGAGUAUCAAAGUAAUAGAAGUAAUAGAAUAAAUACAGCGUGGUACUAAGCUAUCUUCAUCAACAGCUCUGGGGGUGUACCUGUCUAAUGCUAACCUGAGAAUACAAGUUAUUUGAAAAGCGAGUAUCAACAUUAUAAAGUAGUAGUUUAAGUGAGUUCAUAAGUAUUUAGUGACAUUUAUUCAAAUUACUUUAUAAAGUAGUAGUUUAAGUGAUUUCUUGUGUAUUAGAGUUCUUUCCAGAAAAUCCUAUAUUUUCUUUAAUAAAGCAGCCUUCUACCAAGGCUGGUCAGUGUUAUGCGGUAAAAAGUAGUUUUCCCUACAUUGCUAUCAUUAUCAAAAUACUAAAUUUGAUUAUUGAGGAAAGCAAACGACAUCAGGGAAUAACAUAUGCCUCAGCAGUGAGGCCUGCUGACUAAGGCAAGGAAUCAUAGACUACAGGAGAAUAUCGAAUUAACGACUCGCCUGGUUCAGUCUANAAUGGAGGCACGGACCCCAGAAGGUACCAAAUGAAAGGUACAGCUGGUAAGGUCUCAAACAGUGAAUACAGACCCCAGACAGUAUUAAAUGACAAAUACAUCUUGUAAGGUCAAAACAGUGAAUAAAGUGAAAACAGUGGAUACAGUGAAUACAGUGGAUACAGACCCCAGACAACGUCAAAUGAAUGAUGCGUCUAGUAAGGUCUAAAACAGAGAAAGCAAAACACUGACAGUAUCAAAUGAAAGAUACGUCUUGUAAGGUCAACACAGUGUGACUCUGAAAUGAAUUGCCAACAUACAGUGUAAAUUGCUGGCGAAAUACCGUUACCUUAAUGCCAUGAAUUAUAAGGUAACCCGGGAUACUCGUAACCAUACUAACUAGAGUUCCAGAUGCCCUACAAGCGUCUAUAAGAUGUGACAUUUGUCACCCGUUGGCUUGGUAGGCCGGGACUGUAGCUAGCAGUCUGGGUGCGGGGUUGUCAAUCCCGUAUAGAUCUAUACACACAAUGUCCGCUCUCCCUACAGCAGACUCUGGUUACCAACUAGACGACGGAGAAGGUCGUGUCCUGAAGAUGCAUCCCAAAUAGUGGGUAGAGACUUCCAAAUAGUGGGUUUCUAAUGUAAGUGUUGAACUAGAGGUAGAGACUCAUAACUGAAUUGACUGAAGUAAACCCAUAUGUCUAUGCUUGUGUACAUAAUAUAUAACUAAUGAAUCAAACGACCUUCGGAUGGACAUCCGAUCCCACCAGACCACAUCUCAACGAAGAAAAGGAAAUAGGGCGGACAAGCCUUCUUAAGUCCUUCAAUCAUUAUUUAUAUGCAUCUAUACAAGCACAGACAUACAUCUAACUACGCUUGAGUGUGUAUCAAGUGGAAUCAUAUCGUGAAGUAUAAGCGUACAGUGUGGAAUAACCGACUUGUGAAGUAUAAAUGUACAGUGAAAUAUCAGAGUCGUGAAAUAUAAGCAUACAGUGGAACAUCCGAGUUGUGAAGUAUAAGCGUACAGAGUGGGAUAACCGAAUCGUGAAGUAUAAGUGUACCAAGUGUAAGUGUAUCACGAAGUGUAAACGACGAUAAGUGAAGUAAGAGCAUCUAUCCAGUAUAAGCGACUACAAGUAUAAGAGAAAUAGAGACUAUAACAAGUAUAAACGCAUCACGAAGUGAAAGCGUUAUCGAGUAGGAGUUUAAAUUAAAUGAAAAUGAAGCGGCAGUAACCAACAAGUAAAAGUAUACAUGAAAACCUAGGAAAAUCGCAUUUUGUAUUCUUUGGUGAAAUAAGUGUGAAAACAUUUAGAAAUCUUUGGAACCUUUAUAAACCAGUUCGAAAUGAUUUUUGAUUAAAACAGUAUAAGUAAGAGUUUGAAACAGUUUGAAAACCUUUUUGAAAGUCAUCAUAGUAUCCUACUCGGUAAAACAGUGUAAAGUGUGGUAAAAUCUUGUGCAUGCGAGUUAUCAAUCACAUGUGAUUGAUAUGAUAACUGGCAUGUUUAACUUGUAUUCCCCCUAUAAAACAUGUAAAAACAUUAAAAGGUUCAUUCAGGGGUAUGAACUCACCUGGCGUAAGUAGGUCCGACGAAGGUGUCGUUUGGGCGUUCGGUGUCACGCAAGGACUCGAACACACACAAUGACCUAUUUAACAUAUGAUAACAUAUGUUCACAUACAAUUAGUAUAUUUAUUACUAAUUAAACAAUUAUACGCGCUCAAAGGAGCGUAAAACACUUUGGUUAAGUGUUUGGGGGUCCCGGGUAGCGUCUAAAGGUGUGUAUGGCUAAGGAAUGGAGUUUACUCUCCGAGAUUAAACCCUUGUUACCUAGUUUACGGCCCAGGGACAUCUCACCAUGAGUUUACGGCCGUAAACUCAUGGUGAAGGGUUCUAGUGUGCUAAAGUGACUCAUAUCAAUUGUAGAUUUAUGCUAGGCUCAAAUAUCAAAUGUGUGAAUGGGUUUAAAGCACUAAAUGGCCCCUUUGAGGAGUUUACAGCCCUAAGCAAGGGAGCUUAUGGCCGUAAGCUCCUAUACCCUCUUUCUUUUGGUGUUUUAAGGGCUUAAGUGGUAGAGGGUAAUUUCCUAAGCAUUUUGGUAAUAGUCUAAGGCCAUUUGGAGAACAAAAUCAAUGUUUUGGGCAUGUUUAAGGGUGUUUACGGCCCUGGUACAUGCCUGGGCCGUAAACUCCUUUUGACCAUUCAAUUUGUUGUGUUUAAUUGAUCCAAGCCCCAAAUACUAAGUCCCUAAAUUAUGUAUGAAGCCUAAGGGUGUUUUAGGAGUGUGUUAGGGGCACCUUUGCAAGUUUGUGAGGUGUUUACGGCCUUGGCAUAUGCCUGGGCCGUAAACUCUAUUUUACACCCUAAAUUCUUAUGUUUAAAUGAUCUAAACCCAAGAGGAUAAGCCCCUAAUUUAUGAAUUAAGUCCAAGGGUGGUUUGGGAGUGUUUUGGAGGCAUUUUAACCACUUUAAGAGGUGUUUACGGCCUUGGCAUAUGCCUGGGCCGUAAACUCCCUUUUAUGCCUCAAAAUGAUUGUUUUAAUUGAUCAAACACUCCUAGGCUAAAUCCUCUAUUUAUUUCCAAGCCUUUAGGGACAUUUUAGGGUCAUUUUGGCCUCAUUUUUGGGGUUUACGGCCUAAGGAGGAGCUUAGGCCGUAAACUCCUUUUCCAUUGCUUCUAAGUCUGAUUUUUGGGCUAUAAACACAAAUCAUAAUGUUUAGAAUAGGCUAGGGUAAGCGGACUUACAAUUUGGAAGCGUUUGGUUGCGGAUUUGGGGCAAAAACGGGUCUAGUGAGAGAGUAUAGAGAGAGAGUGUGAAAAAGGUUGAAAUGGGGUUUACUCCCCUUUAUAUAUGGGUGGGAGUUGGAGCUCAGUGGAAUUCUACCCGAUACUGUCGUUAUACGGGGCUUUUGGUCGCACCCGAUUUAGUGGUCGUAAUAAUAAAAACUAACUGUUCCAACUAAAUGGAAAUGUGUAAUACGAGUUUUUGUUUCCUUUUAUCACGACUUAACGACAUAAAUAAAUGAAACAUUUGGGAUGUUUAUUAAAUUGACGACCUCUAAUUAACGGAGCUUUUAUAAACUGGAAUAUUCCGUUAACGGUAACGGGAAAAUGUAACGGAACAACUUGGGUUGUCACAGAACAUAACACUUAUGCUCCCACUAGCUUUGACAUUUAUUCAGAAACCCCUUAACUUUCAGAAAACAAUACCUAUUGAAUUUCUUAUGUUCAUGUUUCUAAUACCCAAUGCUUUGAUAAUCUUUUAUCAAGGCUUAUUAAAUUUAUACACAUUUGCCUUAGAUAGUUCAUAUGUGUGUCUAAACAAUUAAGACUAAUUGCCAAACCUCACAAUUCAAAUCAUGGAAAGGGAUAUCGUAACCAUAAUCGAAUUCGAGAAUGCAAUUUUACAAUCACUAUCUUCUUAAAAUCUUUCUUAGUGAAAGCAUUUCCUCACAAUCAUUUUCAUGAAGGAGGGAAUCUUAUGACACUUAGAUUUUAAUGGUGUAUGUGUUCCUAUCCAUGUGAAUUUGUCAAAAUCAAAAUUUACGACAAAUUCAAGCUCAUAUGGACCGAACUUCCUUAAUCUUAAUUUCUUGCCUUAUGGUAGCAUAGCUGCCCACCAUGUCUUCCAAGUAGUUAAGUCACUCACCUUUUCCUAUCAAUGUACUUUUCAUUGAUCAAGGUCCUUGCCUUUUAUGCAUUAAAAUGAGAGCUCAUAGGACUCACAUGCAUAAUUAACUCAAUUUGGAACAACACAGAAACAAAAUAAUGUCAACACAAUAGGUUGUAAACCUCAACUCGUGUGCUAGUGAUGAUCAAUAAGGUCUAUUUUGAUUGUUCUUGAAACCUUUCAAGACCAUUAAGACUCCCACUGACUCCUUGACAUAUAAGAUUCUCUUGUCAAUAAACAUUUCUUGACAAACAAAUAUUCAAGAGUUAGUGUAGUGUUUUUAUCAAAACACUUCAUAAAUAGGUCCUAGUUGGUCUUUGUCUUAUCCAAGACAUCACAACUUUCCUCUUUUGAUGAAUGUUAUAAACCUCCUAAUGCUUAUCACUCAAUGUCAUAAUCUUAGCUAUAAGACUUGUUUUGGAACGAAGUAUGAUUGACUUCUUGAUUUGACCAUUUCUUCAAUCCUUGAUUCCUCUUCUUAGACAUACAAUUGUACUAAGACUCACUUAGAGGAUCAAUUGAGAUAUAGUUCUUAAUCAUUAAGACCUAUCAUAAAGCAUAAAAGGUACUCUCCCUUCUUCUUAGAAUGGAGAAACUUUUAUCUUUCUGCCUACUUGAUUCUUCUUAUUCGUUCUGCUAUUGAUUUAAACUUUUUUAAUCAAUUCAUAAUUACACUUAAUCUUGUAAGUAUAAUCAUAUUUACUAAACCUUUAGUAAAUCAUGACGAAUAUCAUUGUUACUCUUAUGGUGGACUUGAUCAACACGCAACUUUGUGUGCUCGAUCUCCUAGUCCUUCACUUGACACUUUGUCAAUGAAUUAGUCUAAUUUCCAAAUAUGAAAUUUCUCAUUCAUCGUGCAACCAAGUUGCAUGAUUCCAAGUUUCUGUCCAAUUGAAACUUGGGCGAUGAGAAACUCUCCCUACUUGGUAAAUUCUCGACCUUUCCAUAAUUAUCAUAAAUGAAUCAUAUCCACUCGUUGUAGAAAUAUGAAAACAUCAAUUUUUCAUAAUGAUUUCAUUGCAAGGAAAUAAACAAAUAAAUAAAUAAGUCAAACCAAAAUUUAUUUUAUUUAUAAAAGCAGCGGAAAACAUUUGUCCUUACAAUGGAAAAUCCAUUGAAAACUAUGUAUUCAAAAAGAAAACUCCUAACAACUCUAUCAUAACUAUCUAAGCUCAAAAUCUAAUCUUCAAGUCCAUGCGAUCAAGAUCCAUUCCUUGUGAUUAGAUUCAUCUUGCUCUUUCACCAAGCUUCCUUUCUUUUCACCGAUCCUGUAAAACAUUCAAAUGCAAUCUUAUUACAUUAUGUAUUAAGAAUUAAUGAAUAGGAACUUAAUGGAGUUAGAUAGUGGAUUUUACCUGAAGCGCAGCCAUACUCUUUGACUCUCCCAUCUUCUGGACUCUUCAGGCUCUUUGGGCAGACUUGUAUCCAACGCCCUUUCUUUUGGCAGCAAACGCAGGUCGGUUCUCCUAGAACGUCCUCGGAAGCAUGGUCGGUUGACUUUCCCAACAAAUACGCUCCAUUGCUUCGCCAAAUCAUUUCUGAUUCAGCAGCAAUGAGCAUGUAAGUUAGGUCAAUGAGGUUGUCGUCAUGAUCCAUCAUAUAAUACUUUCUUUUGAACUCAUUAUAUGAUUUAGGAAGUGACUGCAAAACCCAAUUCACAGCCAACUCAUCUGGGAAUGACACACCCAACAUUAUCAACCUAUCAAUGUGUGAUUUCAUUCCUAGAACGUGGGCACACACGGGUUUACCAUCUUCAUGUUUCAUUUCCAAUAGGGCUUUAGUGAUAUUGAACCUUUCAAUUCUUCGAUCUUGUGGGUUAGGGAGAACAAUAGGAGGAGGAGGAGGAAGUGAAGCAUGAUUUCUCGUUCCUCGAUUGAAUCGUGGAAUACCAUCUUCAUGUGGAAUGCUUGUUCCACGGGAUUUGGGAAGACCAUAGUUGUCGAACUUUGACAUCUACAAAACGGGAGAAAAACAAAUUCAAGUUAGUUGAUUGAUUGAGUCCUUAGUAAAUCACCCAAAUGAAAUACUAAGGCUAGGACCCAACACAAUAUUCUACAACUCGGGAGAGGGAUGCCGUAACCCUAAUUGCAGAAUAUUUGAAGGUAAGUGAAUGACGAUUCACUAAUUUCCACCACGAAAAACGAAAAAGAAAUUUAAGUUUUAAAUCUAUGAAAACUCCUAGAUCCUUUGAGAUUCAUUGAACUUUCAAUGGCAUGUUUAAAUCUCGAUAUGCCCCUCUUGUUUGUGACUGGGAUGCCGAGGAUCACAAAGCGGGUGUGAAUAACCAUGCAAACUUACAUGGUGCCCUCACAUGUUACAGUCACCUAUUCGAUGUGCCGGUAAACCACACACGCUCCACCGAACUAUGACAAACAUUGAGUCACCCUUUGCUACCUUUGCUUAGAACCAUUUAGUGUGCCGGUAAACCACACACGCUCCACUAACGUCUUCGCAAGGGCACAAAGUGUAAUUUCAUGGAAUUGCAUCAAUUCACUUUUGCCUAAGUAACUAAGAUUGGGAAUUUUAUGAAAACAUUUAGUUACUUUUAUACUUCAUUAUACUUAUAAUGGAAGGUUUCGUCCUAUCCUACCCGUUCGGCUAACGACCCUCCACUAGUCAAGAGUGCGGUGGGUAAGAGUGGAUACCCAUUCAAUCGCCAUUUUAUAGGCAAUUUCCUUAAACACCCCUUAUAGACCAGCUUCGUGAAUGAGGCCUACUAACGGUAAGACUGACUUUUACUCAUACAUAUAUAUAAUGUUAGACUUUUAAUGUUAUAUAUAGUAUAGGGUGUAUUUUACACUUUUAAAAUACUAGGUGGUCAAAUUUAACAAUUAUACUUUUAAUUCAAUUAAAUUGUAAACCUAAACUUUUAUGGAUUUAUUAAACCUCUUUUAAUUAUACACCUUAAUUAAUUAAUAAAACCAUAAGGGUGUGAUUUGAACUUUUUCAAAACUAUACUAGAGUUUUAGAAUUUAACAUUCCUAAUUAAACUUUUAAUCAACUUUUAAAUUCCAAAACUUGAGGGCAAGUUUUGAAACAUUUCAACACAUUAGGGUUUAGAAUUUAAAUAUACAUCAAAAUUAAACUAUUUAAUCAAAAUUUAAAUUCCAAAACUUGAGGGCAAGUUUUGAAACCUUUUUCAAAACAUUAGGGUUUCAACUAUUUAAAUUUCAAAACAACAAAACUUUUGGGUUCAAAUUUAAACUAUAAAACCUAAAGGGGAAAAUAUGAAACUUUUCAUAACAACAAGGAUCAAAUAACAAAUAAUCUAAAUUAACAUUUAAUCACAUAAUUAUCCAUAUUUGAUUUAUUUAAUGAUUUCUUGCAAAACAAUUUAUCAAUUUAGUCAAAAUAAUUAAUCAAUUAUCACAUAAGGAAACAAUUAUCUUAUUAAUUGAUAAAUAUCUUCAAUUAGAUCAAAAAUAUAGUCAAAUAUAUCAUAUAAUCGGAUUAAUAUUGAUCUAACAUGAUAAGGUAACUAUCCAUAAGCAAAAACAGCAAGAAAUCCCGAAAUACCCUCCAUCUGACGAGUUGACUCGUCGAGUCAGGCUUGGACUCGUCGAGUCUGCAUGGACUCGGCGAGUUCAGCCAUGGACUCGGCGAGUCCAGCCUCCAGAACAUCAAAAAUCGAAUUUUUUGAACAUGUAAUGCAUCAAUACAAUUGAAACCAGUCUAGGCUCUGAUACCACUGAUGGGUUUUGGUCAUAAGACAUCCUAUGUGCUCAUACAAACCCUAAUGCUUGGAUCUAGGUUUCUCUAUUGUACAUGCUUUGAAUCCAAGACUAUAAACCCUAAUUCUAGCAUAUGGAAAUCAAUAUUAACAUAUAAUUAGGUUUAAGAUAUUACCUUGAUUGUUAUGUAGCAAUAACAAUCCCAAUUCCUCCUUGUAUUGACCUUAGAAAGCUUAGAGUCACAAAUGUCACUCCUCUAAUGGUUCACAAACACCAAGAGCAAGAGGAUGAAGAGGAGAGGGGAUGGAGGCUGCCCAAAAC
rnacentral:lncRNA from 1 species